rnacentral:piRNA from 1 species
UUCCUGUUUGAGGAUGAAUGUGUGCUCGCU